rnacentral:rRNA from 1 species
CAGGCCUAACACAUGCAAGUCGAACGGUAACAGGAAGCAGCUUGCUUCUUCGCUGACGAGUGGCGGACGGGUGAGUAAUGUCUGGGAAACUGCCUGAUGGAGGGGGAUAACUACUGGAAACGGUAGCUAAUACCGCAUAACGUCGCAAGACCAAAGAGGGGGACCUUCGGGCCUCUUGCCAUCGGAUGUGCCCAGAUGGGAUUAGCUUGUUGGUGGGGUAACGGCUCACCAGGCGACGAUCCCUAGCUGGUCUGAGAGGAUGACCAGCCACACUGGAACUGAGACACGGUCCAGACUCCUACGGGAGGCAGCAGUGGGGAAUAUUGCACAAUGGGCGCAAGCCUGAUGCAGCCAUGCCGCGUGUAUGAAGAAGGCCUUCGGGUUGUAAAGUACUUUCAGCGGGGAGGAAGGGAGUAAAGUUAAUACCUUUGCUCAUUGACGUUACCCGCAGAAGAAGCACCGGCUAACUCCGUGCCAGCAGCCGCGGUAAUACGGAGGGUGCAAGCGUUAAUCGGAAUUACUGGGCGUAAAGCGCACGCAGGCGGUUUGUUAAGUCAGAUGUGAAAUCCCCGGGCUCAACCUGGGAACUGCAUCUGAUAUCUGGCAAGCUUGAGUCUCGUAGAGGGGGGUAGAAUUCCAGGUGUAGCGGUGAAAUGCGUAGAGAUCUGGAGGAAUACCGGUGGCGAAGGCG